AGUGAACGCUGGCGGCAGGCCUAACACAUGCAAGUCGAACGGCAGCACAGUAAGAGCUUGCUCUUACGGGUGGCGAGUGGCGGACGGGUGAGGAAUACAUCGGAAUCUACUUUUUCGUGGGGGAUAACGUAGGGAAACUUACGCUAAUACCGCAUAUGAUCCACGGGUGAAAGCAGUGGAUCUUCGCACCUUGCGCGAUUGAAUGAGCCGAUGUCGGAUUAGCUAGUUGGCGGGGUAAAUGCCCACCAAGGCGACGAUCCGUAGCUGGUCUGAGAGGAUGAACAGCCACACAGAAGCUGAGAGGCGGCCCAGGCACCUACGGAAGGCAGCGGUGGGGAAUAUUGGACAAUGGGGGCAAGCCUGAUCCAGCCAUACCGCGUGGAUGAAGAAGGCCUGCGGGUUGUAAAGCCCUUUUGUUGGGAAAGAAAAGCAGCAGGUUAAUACCCCGCUGUUCGGACGGAACCCAUAGAAUAAGCACCGGCUAACUUCGU
rnacentral:rRNA from 1 species